UUGUUUUGGUUGUCUGCUUUUCUUGAGACAGAUCUCAAUAUGAAGUCCAGGCUGGCCUCAGAUUCAGUCCUCUAGGCUCAGCCUCCCAUAUUCUGGGAUUACAGGCAUUUGCCACCCCUCCUGGGUUUACCUGAAUGCUUUGGAGUCCAGUGACCCCUCCAGGCCCCCUGCUUGACCUUAUUGCUUAUUGGCAGCAUUCCUGUUCCCAGUGAGGAAACAGGAUGGCAAAGUGAGGCCACUGCCUGCUCUGCAUCUCACCCUUGGAUGAGCAGAGCCUGCUUGGCAGAGCUCAGGUUCCCCAUAACCAGUGUGUUCAGUAGCCUUCCCUGUAGCUUCUUAGCAUCCCUCCCGUGUAUCCACCAUGGUGGUCUUUAUUGCUCUGUGCUGUGCUCAUACACACACACACACACACACACACACACACACACACACACACCUCAGUGCUCUGGCCAAGGUGUCUGUGUCUCUGACUGUGAAAAAUGCCAGUGCAGGGUGCUGGCAGGGGUGGGUGUCUCAGAUUUUUUGUCCUCCAGGCCCCCUGCAUGGGGACCUGUCUAGGCAGGGCUAUUGUUGAAUUCCAAGAUGGCCUCUCAGGCACAGACUUCCAUUAGCCUGCAAUCUUCAUUUCAUCUCACAGACUUUCUAAAGCUUUCUUCAUCUCUCAAAUGGAGAUGCCGAAGGGGCUUCAGAACAUUUCAUAGCUGCACAGGCUGGUGAUGGCCAGGUCUGCAAUCCUGGCAUGUGGGAGGCUGAGGCAGCUCAGGAGCUCAGGGUCAGCCUUGGCUGCAUCAUAAACUUGGAGGCUAGCCCGGGCUGCAUGAGGGCCUGUCUUAAGGAAGGAAGGGAGAAUAUAUUUCUACCUAGUUAGAUGGUGUAUUAAAGAAGUUUUUGUUAGGCUGACCUUGGUGGUGCAUGCCUUUAGUACCAACACUUGGGAGGCAGAGGCGGGUAGAUCUCUGUGCGUUCAAAGCCAGCCUGGAUCCAAGAUAGCCACAACUACACAGAGAAACCCUGUCUUGAAAAACCAAGCAACUAAACGAAACAAAGCAAAAACAACAGGAAAAAAAGAAGUUUGUGUUAAGAGCUUAGUCUGAGUGAGAUAUGAGCUGUCCUUCCUGGGGCCAGAUUCUGCACUUGAGCCCCCAGCAACCAUUCUCUAUUUGUUGAGGGAAUUCUCUGGGUUCUCCUUCACUGAGGUUUGUGUGUGUGCAAGGUGCUAACAACCUACUGUAGAUGUGGGGCUGUGACGGACAGAAGGCACUGACCGUAAAGUGAGCCUGUAUUAUCCCCAACUCACUUCCUGAUUUUGAUAAUUGUGACUGAGAGAAUGUCACUCUUCUUGGGAAAGACCUGCUGGCAUCCUUGGUGAUUAAAACAAGAACCAAUUCAUGAGAAAGAGGAAGCACCCGCUGCAUCAGCUAAGCAAAUAUGGAAGUGACUAGAAUACUUGGCUUUUGUUCUGUUUGGGAGGGACUGUCAUAAAAACUCAGCCACAGUGAAAUGCUUUGUUAUAUAGAACAGGGCUCUAGUUAAGAAGGCAGAAUGUAUAUAUGCUUAGUUUGAGUGGAAAUAUUCUAAAGGUUCAAUUU
rnacentral:lncRNA from 1 species